AAGUCGUAACAAGGUUUCCGUAGGUGAACCUGCGGAAGGAUCAUUACUGAGUUUAGGGUCUCUUUUAGAGCCCGAAUCUCCAACCCUUUGUUAAAAACACUUUGUUGCUUUGGCAGGCCCGUCUUAUCCUUUAACCGGGAGACGACCGCCGGGGGCGUUUAGUCACCUCUGGUCCGUGCUUGCCGAUAGCCUAUUAAAAAUUCUUUAUUAAAUUAUGUCUGAAAAAUUAUAACUAAAUAUAAUUAAAACUUUUAACAACGGAUCUCUUGGUUCUG
rnacentral:misc_RNA from 1 species